GCCCAUGUGGCGAAAUUGGUAGACGUGCCACCUUGAGGUGGUGGUGACCGAAAGGUUGUGCAAGUUCGAAUCUUGUCGUGGGCA
rnacentral:tRNA from 1 species